AGAUUGAACGCUGGCGGCAUGCCUAACACAUGCAAGUCGAACGGGAGUAGCAAUACUCUAGUGGCGGACGGGUGAGGAAUACGUAGGAAUUUGCCCUUAAGUGGGGGAUAACCCGGGGAAACCCGGAUUAAUACCGCAUGACCUCGAAAGAGCAAAGUGGGGGAUCGCAAGACCUCACGCUUUUGGAGAAGCCUACGUCGGAUUAGCUAGUUGGUGAGGUAAUGGCUCACCAAGGCGACGAUCCGUAACUGGUCUGAGAGGAUGAUCAGUCACACCGGAACUGAGACACGGGUCCGGACUCCGUACGGGAGGCAGCAGG
rnacentral:rRNA from 1 species